CACGUAGGGUGCAAGCGUUGUCCGGAAUUAUUGGGCGUAAAGAGCUCGUAGGCGGUCUGUUGCGUCCGCUGUGAAAACUCGGGGCUUAACCCCGAGCCUGCAGUGGAUACGGGCAGACUAGAGGUAGGUAGGGGAGAAUGGAAUUCCCGGUGUAGCGGUGAAAUGCGCAGAUAUCGGGAGGAACACCGGUGGCGAAGGCGGUUCUCUGGGCCUUACCUGACGCUGGAGCGACGAAGCGUGGGGAGCGAACAGG
rnacentral:rRNA from 1 species